GACGAACGCUGGCGGCAGGCUUAACACAUGCAAGUCGAGCGCCCUGCUUGCAGGGAGCGGCAGACGGGUGAGUAACGCGUGGGAACGUACCCUUCGGUACGGAAUAGCCCCGGGAAACUGGGUGUAAUACCGUAUACGACCUCCGGGUGAAAGAUUUAUCGCCGAAGGAUCGGCCCGCGUUAGAUUAGCUUGAUGGUGGGGUAAUGGCCUACCAUGGCUACGAUCUAUAGCUGGUCUGAGAGGAUGAUCAGCCACACUGGGACUGAGACACGGCCCAGACUCCUACGGGAGGCAGCAGUGGGGAAUAUUGGACAAUGGGCGCAAGCCUGAUCCAGCCAUGCCGCGUGAGUGAAGACGGCCCUAGGGUUGUAAAACUCUUUCAACGGUGAAGAUAAUGACGGUAGCCGUAGAAGAAGCCCCGGCUAAUUUCG
rnacentral:rRNA from 1 species